GGACGCGACGGUCCGUGUUGGCGAAGGUCCCCUCCUUUUCGAGGAAGGAGACGGCGGGCAGAACGACGUCGGCGUACUUCGCCGUCUCGUUCA
rnacentral:tRNA from 1 species